UACGUAGGGGGCAAGCGUUGUCCGGAAUUAUUGGGCGUAAAGAGCUCGUAGGCGGUCUGUUGCGUCGGCUGUGAAAACCCGGGGCUCAACUCCGGACCUGCAGCCGAUACGGGCAGACUAGAGUUCGGCAGGGGAGACUGGAAUUCCUGGUGUAGCGGUGAAAUGCGCAGAUAUCAGGAGGAACACCGGUGGCGAAGGCGGGUCUCUGGGCCGAUACUGACGCUGAGGAGCGAAAGCGUGGGGAGCGAACAGG
rnacentral:rRNA from 1 species